rnacentral:rRNA from 1 species
CCUACGGGUGGCAGCAGUGAGGAAUAUUGGUCAAUGGGCGCGAGCCUGAACCAGCCAAGUAGCGUGAAGGAUGACUGCCCUACGGGUUGUCAACUUCUUUUAUAAAGGAAUAAAGUGAGGCACGUGUGCCUUUUUGCAUGUACUUUAUGAAUAAGGAUCGGCUAACUCCGUGCCAGCAGCCGCGGUAAAUCGGAGGAUGCGGGCGUUAUCCGGAUUUAAUGGGUUUAAAGGGAGCGUAGAUGGGUUGUUAAGUCAGUUGUGAAAGUUUGCGGCUCAACCGUAAAAUUGCAAUUGAUACUGGCAGCCUUGAGUGCAGUUGAGGUAGGCGGAAUUCGUGGUGUAGCGGUGAAAUGCUUAGAUAUCACGAAGAACUCCGAUUGCGAAGGCAGCUUACUAAACUGCCACUGACAUUGAUGCUCGAAAGUGUGGGUAUCAAACAGGAUUAGAUACCCCUGUAGUC